rnacentral:lncRNA from 7 species
GGAUUCUAUGGGGCUCAAUGGGAUUCUAUGGGGCUCUGCUGAAGUCAGUGGGAUCCUGUGGGGUCUCAAUGCAAAUGUGUGGGUCUGAGCGCGGAGCUGUGGGGCGCUGUGGGUCUCACGGUGUGAACUCAAUGGAAUUCUAUGGGGCUCAGUGGGAUCCUAUGGGGCUCAAUGGGAUUCUGUGGGGCUCUGUUGAACUCAAUGGGAUUUUAUGGGGCUCAAUGGGAUUCUAUGGGGCUCUGUUGAACUCAGUGGGAUUCUAUGGGGCUCAAUGGGAUUCUAUGGGGCUCUGUUGAACUCAAUGGAAUCCUAUGGGGCUCAAUGGGAUUCUAUGGGGCUCUGUUGAACUCAAUGGGAUUCUAUGGGGCUCAAUGGGAUUCUACGGGACUCUGUUGAACUCAGUGGGAUUCUAUGGGGCUCAAUGGGAUUUUAUGGGACUCUGUGUGAACUCAAUGGGAUUUUAUGGGGCUCAAUGGGAUUCUAUGGGGCUCUGUUGAACUCAGUGGGAUUCUGCGGGGCUCAAUGGGAUUCUAUGGGGCUCAAUGGGAUUCUAUGGGGCUCAAUGGGAUUCUACGGGGCUCUGUUGAACUCAAUGGGAUCCUGUGGGGUCUGAGUGCAAAUGUGUGGGUCUGAGCGCGGAGCUGUGGGGCGCUGUGGGUCUCACGGUGUGAACUCAAUGGGAUUUUAUGGGGCUCAAUGGGAUCUCUAUGGGGCUCAAUGGGAUUCUGUAGGACUCUGUUGAACUCAGUGGGAUUCUAUGGGGCUCAAU